GUCCAAAGUUUGUUUAAUUACUAGUGGUGAUUUACAGAACAGUGCAAAGGUUUUAGGCACAUGUAAAGAAAUAAGGUAAUGGGAAUAUGAUUUAAAUAUAAAUAUAAAGAAAACAACUAUAAAGGAUAGAAGACUAAUUUGAAGAUUUGGUGUGACAAUCUUUUGCAUUUAUAACUGCACCAAUUCUCUUAGGGAUCCCUGUUGAGCAGUUUUAUCAUUUUAAAAGGAAAUCAGCUGCUAGAGUGUUCACACAUCAACAUGUCCUGGGUUUUCAGUAGACUUUGGCUCCCACUUGCUUCUAUCUCUGCAGAUCUAAGACAAAUGCAACAAUGUUUUAAUGUGAGACACAGACUAUUACUUUAUAUGUUGGUUUCUUUACAUUUUAUUGACAUCUUGUUGGUGUCAUCUUACUGCUUGUUGGUGUCAAGCCAUUGGUGUCAGGCCAUUGUCCACAAGAUUCUUACAAAACCUGUACAGAAUCUCAUUGCUGAAAGGUAUCGAUUAGGAAAGGAUUAGAAAAUAAUUUCCAGAACAUUACAGUUGUGCUUAAAAGUUUGUUAACCCUUAUAUUUCUUCAUAAAUAUAGCCUAAAACUUAAUAAGAUGAGGUAAUGAUCAGGUGUUUUCAAUCAAUGGGAUGACAAUCAGGUGUGAGUGACCACCCUGUUCUAUUUAAAGAACAGGGGUAUAUCAAAGUCUGCGCUUCACAUCACAUGGCAUGAACAAAGGAGAUUUCUGAGGAACUCAGAAAAAGAGUUGUUGAUGCUCAUCAGGUUGGAAAAGGUUACAAAAUCUAAAGAGUUUGGACUCCAGCAAUCCAAAGUUAGCUGGACUGUGUUCAAAUGGAGGAAAUUCAAGACUAUUAUUAUCCUCCCCAGGAGUGGUCGACCAACAAAGAUCACUCCAAGAGCAAGACGUGUAAUAGUCUGUGAGUUCACAAAAGAACCCAGGGUAACAUCUAAGCAACUAAAGGCCUCUCUCACAUUGGGUAAUGUUAAUGUUUGAGUCCACCAUCAGGAGAACACUGAACAACAAUGGUGUGCAUAGCAGGGUUGCAAGGAGAAAACCAUUGCUCUCCAAAAAGAGCAUUGCUAUCCUUGUGCAGUUUGGUAAAGAUGAUGUGGACAAGCCAGAAGGCUACUAGAAGAUGUUUUGUGGAUGGAUCAGACCAAAAUCGAAAUUUUGGUUUAAACAAGAAGCAUUAUGUUUGGAGAAAACUGCAUUCCAGCAUAAGAACCUUAUUCCAUCUGUAAAACAUGCUAGUGGUAGUAUCAUGGUUUGGUCCUUUUUUGCUGCAUCUGGGCCAGGUCGACUUGCCAUCAUUGAUGGAACAAUGAAUUUGGAAUUAUACCAGUGAGUUAUAAUGGAAAAUGUCAGGACAUCUGUACGUGAUAUGAAUCUCAAGAGACAGUGGGUCAUGCAGCAAGACAACGACUCUAAGCACACAAGUCGUUGUUGUAGAAUGGUUAAAGAAGUAUAAAUUAAUGUUUUGGAAUGGCCAAUUCAAAGUCCGCACCUGAAUUCAAUAGAAAUGUUGUGGAAGGAACUGAAUCAAGCAGUUCAUGUGAGGAAACCCAUCAAAAUCUCAGAGUUGAAGCUGUUCUGUACUGAGGAAUGGGCUAAAAUUCCUCCAAGCUGAUGUGCAGGAUUGAUCAACACGUUUAGUUGCAGUAAUUGCUGCACCAGAUACUGAAAACAAAGGUUCAUAUACUUUUGCCUCUCAGAUAUGUAAUAUUGUACCAUUUUCCUCAAUAAAUAAAUGACCAAGUAUAAUAUUUUGUGUCAAUUUUUUGUUUGGAUUCUCACUGACUACACUGACUUGUGGGAAAAUCUGAUGUCAUAUUUUUGCAGAAAUAUAGAAAAUUCAAAAGGGUUCACAAACUUUCAAGCACCACUUUAGAUGUACCAUGGAACACCUUAAAGGCUUUUAUCAACAAGUAUAGAAAAUGGGGUAAAAAAAGUGUAUGUCUGCACACUGAUCAUGUCACACUAUUGGUACUUUACUUAGUCAUAUACAUUGCUUUGACUAGUUCUGGGAACUUGCUUUUCUUAAAACUACUUUGCAUUUAAAUUUUUUCAUCAGCAAUUUUAACUGCUGUUUGUGUUGGCCUCGCUUCUGCAUUUAUCUGCACAAAUGUAAAGAAGGAAGCACAUUCAAAUUGACCCUCUUUUGCAUCAUGGUUUCCUAGGAGAACGAAUGCAUCCAUUCAGUAAGAGAAUAAAAAAAACAGUGAAGAGGGAGAAAACAUGCACAGGCAAUGCAUGCUGAUGAGCGUCACAGUGGCUCUCUAAUCUGGUCAACAGGAGAAAUGUUGCAUUUCCAGAAUGAGGAUAAGUAUGAUAUAUUCGGGAAGCACCACAGCAGAGGAGCAUGGGGCAUCUGCACCUCCACUCCCUGGCGGCACGAGGGAGAACGAGUGCAGUUGUUAUGCUCGGCACGUUCUGUGCUGGCAGAUCUCUCUGGACUGUUGGAGCCCAUUAAAAUGUCUUGUAGUACAGGAUAAUCCUUUUGCUUGGAGCCGGGCACGGCAAUGCAUCAGGAAG
ensembl:lncRNA